rnacentral:rRNA from 1 species
UACGUAGGGAGCAAGCGUUGUCCGGAAUCAUUGGGCGUAAAGCGCGCGUAGGCGGCCCCGUAAGUCCGCUGUGAAAGUCAAAGGCUCAACCUUUGAAAGCCGGUGGAUACUGUGGGGCUAGAGUCCGGAAGAGGCGAGUGGAAUUCCUGGUGUAGCGGUGGAAUGCGCAGAUAUCAGGAGGAACACCUAUAGCGAAGGCAGCUUGCUGGGACGUUACUGACGCUAAGGCGCGAAAGCGUGGGGAGCGAACAGG